rnacentral:miRNA from 1 species
UGGGAGCGAUCGAUGAGGUGUU